GUAACCGUGGUUGAAUAAACAAUCAUAUUAAAAAAUGAUUUUAUGGAAACCUGGAAUUUUCUAAGUUGCCUAAUGUUUUUCAUUUUUUAUUUAAGACUAAUGUAAAGCCAAUGAUUUACUGCACACAAGCUGAUCUUAAUUCUCAUUUCCGAUACAAUCUUUCCACGUUUUGUACAAUAUUAGAUGUUCCUGUGUCGAAUUUCAUAAUGGACAGGCCCACUUCAGUGUUUUACCGAUAACACGUACUAGUCUAGAUACACUCGUACAUACUUUAUCUGCCUUUCUUUGUCAAUGGGGAAAUAGCGCCCACAAAGGGGCCACGUCUCCCAAGCCACCAUCAUGCCACGGGUCAAAAACAAAGGAGACCCUGAAACGAUUUUUGAUAUCGCUUGAUAAGUCAAGCAGAACAAUAAAGUGCGUCAAUUUACAAGGCUCGAACGACAAUCAAAGUAAGACUUUGGAUAUCAAAUCGAUUCAAGGUUAAUCACUUUGGUAAGAAGAAUAGCCACCAAAAGAGCCGUUUUCCCACUCAGACGCAUGUUGUAAUCAUCAUUCGAAUACCUCAUGCGCAAUAAGUGGCUUCGCAUUGCUGCUGUCCAAAACCGGUUCUUUCUUACCUCAAUCCAAGCUAUAUGGCUAAAACACAAGCGCACAAGGGGGCAACCGAAAGGAAAAUCUUGCUCAAGAAUAAUGGAUCUAAGCCAAAAAAAAAAGGGCAACAAGUGGUGCAAGACGUUUGGGACAAGUACAGAAAAGAGGUUACGACAUCUUCCCAGCUUUGGUUUUGGUUUGUUUAUGAAAAAAGGGUUUCGGCACAGCCAGUUUUCAUGGAAUGCAAUGGUCAUGUCUCUGUGCACUGCACUCAAGGUGAAAUAAUUAAGUGGAACAUAAAUUCAGGGGCACAGAUUGGAAUUUCGAGGCACGCAGACUUGAGGUUACAAUGCGCAUCCCAAUUUGCCAAGUGCUUCUCCUUGCACAUUACAGGACACUUCAUACUUGCAACAAAUGAACACGGCAAAUAUUGUCUGUUGGGAGGGCAAACAGUUUAAAAUCAAAUAUGUGGACCCAGCCCUUCAUCUUCCGUUCGGAUGCAUUAUUUUCGCUACUAUGAGGAGAUAGUUGUCUGCUCGUCGAGAUAAGACGGUGCCAUAGUUCCGGCCGGUAACAAUGCAAUGUGGUUCGCAGCGCCAGCAAUUUGUGGGCAGGGUACUCGUCUGCCAUUGUUCGCUGCGGUUCCUUGGCUACGAAGCUGCGCUUAAGUUUCUUGACUUUGCCCCCUCUUCACCCAGAAGAGCGCCAUUAAACUGUUUGAUGUCACAGAAGGCGUUAGUUAUAGCAGGGACGACUUUAAUAUGCAGUUUACCGCGUUUGAAAUCGAAUUAUAAUUUAUAUAAUAGCAGUGUUACAACUUGCCAUAGUUUUAAAGUGUACUUUUUUAUGUUAAAAAAAAUUGGUUUUACAUAUAAACGGGUGGUCUCAUCAAUCAAUUGCGAUGUGAGCUGGCUCCACCAGGAAUGCCACCAAACAUUUGAAUAAACACACGUGCAGUGUGAGUGCAAACAAAUCAUAAAUCAUUUAAUUAGCAUGGUGUGUUUCCAUUGCCAAAUAUUGUAAGUUGGAUGGCGAAAAUAGGCAAGGCAGGGGGCAAUUGGGAAAAGAAGGGGGUGGCAAUGCGCGAAACGAAAAAAGUGGCGUGAUCGGUAUAAAUAAAACAAUAAAAGAACCGCCAAGAGAUAUACCCAAGCAACAAGCGAACGCACGAUAAAAGCAAAAGUCAAAACAAAGACGAAUGGCGAAAUGAGUCAAGAAUGCCAAGAUAGGGAAAUCGCCUGAGAAACAGCCAACCAAAACAAACGCACAUAAAUAAAAGUAAUUAAUGCAAAACGAUUACUUCAUCGUAAAACAUUUUAGACUUCUUUUUUUCUGCAGCCAAUAGACCCGUCCGCAUAAAAAGUGAAGGGUAUGCCAACAACCGUUAGAGGCGCCAAACAGCUGUCAAAAGCAGAAAACAUUGCGAAGAGCGCACAAAACAGACGACGAGCACAGAAGCAACGAGUUCAAACAACUGCGACACCCAAACUCAAGGUCGUAGAUAUAAUAAUAAUAAUAAUAUAAUGCAUAUAACGCCUGUGGGGAGGGUGGCGGCCUAGUCUCUGCUCUCCCUUUAUCAUCAUGUACAUACAUAUGUAUUUGUUUAUGUACAUAUAUACAUAUAUAAUACCUUUUUAUUAGCUCAUACAAAGUCUAAUACACAACAGUUUCAAUUGAUAUUUUCAAGCUAUCGCGCGAACCGGUUAAAAACCUCCACGGCAACGCAAAAGUUGGGAAAUAAGUAUAUACAAUAAAAAUUAUAUGUAUAAGCUAGUAAAACAAGCACAAUAGCAACGAGUUGUUUAUUGAUGUUUAUUAAUAAAAAUAUCGUACCACAUAUGUACAUAUGUAUUACAACAGCGGUGGGAAUAUUAUUGAUAAGAGCCUUCAAAAUAAAAUACCGAAUCCUCAUAAAGGGUUAUGAAAAAUUGGGGAUAAGACAAUUUUUUUUCCAAAUAAUAAAUUAACAAUGUUUUAUACAUUACAUUAAUUUAAAAAAUGACUACUGUGAAAGGUGCUAACAACGCGACGCCAAGUGUACGAAGAAAGCGUGAGGCGUGGGAGGAAAACUCAAGAUUGCGAGUGGAAGGCUGGGCAAACUGUUGAGAAUAAACCGCGAGUGACCGGCCGGGAAUGCAUCUUUGGCCAUUAAGGCCUCGCGCGUUGCUAUUGAGCACAUCGUUGUACUAUCCAAGUACUAUAUGGAUAUGUAGUAGGUGCCUUAAACAUGGGGCGAUCCCACGGAACAAUUGGCCAAUUCACCGGCAUUUGCGCAGUUGCGUGCUGCGGCCUUCGCUUCGAAUUAGCGCAAUAAAAAGCCACAAACAAAUCAAAUAUCGGGCGUAGCGAUUUCCAAAAAAAGUGUCGCCCACCCACAAAACCCCAUUACGAGGUACAGUCAACUCUGUGGCCGGUGAACGUUUGUAUUUAAAUCUUCUUUCUUAUUCACAUCCUAAGAAAACUCAUUUUGAUAGCUGGAUUGGUAAAAUGUAUUAUAAUAAUGUAGUGAUUUUGUUUUUGUUUUUAUUGCUAUACCCUCCUAAAGUACCUCUGUUUUGCUGCGUUUACUGUUUUUUGCUCGACAGACUGGCUGACUCAUGCGGUCUACAUCAGCCGAGUCGGAAUAACAAGAAAUCCGUUUACCAACACACCGACAAGCUGUUGAUAUUUGUUUGCAAACAAAAGAAGCGCUAAAAAUUCAAUUAUCUGGGAUGGAGAGAGAUAGUCUCCUAUGUUAGAAGGUUCAACACAUGGAUCGUUCACUGUAAACUAAAUCUUUGUUUGGGCAACCGGCAUGGAAUCUAUUUACCUCCCGUUGCCAGGUAAGUUUUGCAUAUUUCCCGGAAGGAAAUCCCAGCUCUGUCCUUCAAGAAGUGCAUUGUUCUCAGGGAGAGAGAGAUUUGCUCAGCGGCUUUUAUCCCGUAUGAUUGGCACACAAACACGCGUAUACACACGCACACGUGCACACACCCGUUUCGAAAGAUAACGGUAGGGGAGGAGGGGUCUUAAGAACCAGGGAGUCGAGGUUUUGUGUAAAUAGUGUGUUACUCACC